UCCUCAGUAGCUCAAUGGCAGAGCAUCCGGCUGUUAACCGGAGGGUUGCUGGUUCGAGUCCAGCCUGAGGAG
rnacentral:tRNA from 1 species